UAACGCUGGCGGCAUGCCUAAUACAUGCAAGUCGAUCGGGCGUAGCAAUACGCUAGAGGCGAACGGGUGAGUAACACGUAUCCAAUCUACCCCAAAGUGGGGGACAACUAGUCGAAAGAUUAGCUAAUACCGCAUAAUAAAUGCACUAUCGCAUGAGAAGCAUUUUAAAGGUCCGUUUGGACCGCUAUGGGAUGAGGGUGCGGCAUAUCAGCUAGUUGGUGAGGUAACGGCCCACCAAGGCGAUGACGUGUAGUUAUGCUGAGAGGUAGAAUAACCACAAUGGGACUGAGACACGGCCCAUACUCCUACGGGAGGCAGCAGUAGGGAAUUUUUCACAAUGGACGAAAGUCUGAUGGAGCAAUGCCGCGUGAACGAUGAAGGUCUUAAUGGAUUGUAAAGUUCUUUUAUUUGGGAAGAAUUGCCAAUAGAGGAAAUGCUAUUGGUUUGACGGUACCAUUUGAAUAAGUAACGACUAACUAUGUGCCAGCAGUCGCGGUAAUACAUAGGUUGCAAGCGUUAUCCGGAUUUAUUGGGCGUAAAGCAAGCGCAGGCGGAUUAGAAAGUCUGGUGUUAAAAACAACUGCUUAACGGUUGUAUGCAUUGGAAACUUCUAGUCUAGAGUGUGGUAGAGAGUUCUGGAACUCCAUGUGGAGCGGUGGAAUGCGUAGAUAUAUGGAAGAACACCAGUUGCGAAGGCGAGAACUUAGGCCAUUACUGACGCUUAGGCUUGAAAGUGUGGGGAGCAAAUAGGAUUAGAUACCCUAGUAGUCCACACCGUAAACGAUGGAUGUUAGGUGUCGGGGCGAUCACCUCGGUGCCGCAGCUAACGCAUUAAACAUCCCGCCUGGGUAGUACAUUCGCAAGAAUGAAACUCAAACGGAAUUGACGGGGACCCGCACAAGUGGUGGAGCAUGUUGCUUAAUUCGACGGUACACGAAAAACCUUACCUAGAUUUGACAUCCUUGGCAAAGCUAUAGAAAUAUAGUGGAGGUUAACCGAGUGACAGGUGGUGCAUGGUUGUCGUCAGCUCGUGUCGUGAGAUGUUGGGUUAAGUCCCGCAACGAGCGCAACCCUUUUCGUUAGUUACUUUGUCUAGCGAUACUGCCAACGCAAGUUGGAGGAAGGUGGGGACGACGUCAAAUCAUCAUGCCCCUUAUGUCUAGGGCUGCAAACGUGCUACAAUGGCCAUUACAAACAGUUGCAAAUCCGCAAGGUGGAGCUAAUCUGCAAAGAUGGUCUCAGUUCGGAUUGAGGGCUGCAAUUCGCCCUCAUGAAGUCGGAAUCACUAGUAAUCGCGAAUCAGCCAUGUCGCGGUGAAUACGUUCUCGGGUCUUGUACACACCGCCCGUCAAACUAUGAGAGCUGGUAAUAUCUAAAACCGUGUUGCUAACCGUAAGGAAGCGCAUGUCUAGGGUAGGACUGGUGAUUGGAGUUAAGUCGUAACAAGGUACCCCUACGAGAACGUGGGGGUGGAUCACCUCCUUUCUACGGAGUAUAAACAAGUUUUAUACACCAUUUUAUUAGGUGUUAAUAUAUUAAAAUCCAAAUUAAACAUUCAACCCAUCGCAAAGCAAUUUGAUGUAAAUGUUUUUUUGGUCAUGAUUUUAUCCAGUUUUGAGAGAAGUUAUCUCUCCUAUUGUUUUUCUUUAAGUAAAGUUAAAUAAUAGAGAUGGUUCUUUGAAAACUGAAUACAACAAAUCUUUCUAGUUCUAGUAUGGUAAUGUAAAAAAUUACUGUAUUAAUAUCAAAAUGCUAAUGGAUAUCAAAAAUAAGUUACUAAGGGCUUAUGGUGGAUGCCUUGGCACUGACAGGCGAUGAAGGACGUGCGAACCUGCGAAAAGUUACGGGAAGUCGGUUAGAGACGCUAAUCCGUAAAUAUCCGAAUGGGGGAACCCAGAAUAUUGAGAAAUAUUCUAUUUAACUUUGAAUUCAUAGAGGUUAAAAGCGACACGUUGCGAAGUGAAACAUCUCAGUAGCAACAGGAAAAGAAAACGAAAGUGAUUCCGUGUGUAGUGGCGAGCGAAAGCGGAAUAGGCCAAACCAGAAGCAAUUCUGGGGUUGUAGGACUACAAUAUAUGGACUUUAGAUUGAUAGGAGAAAUGGUUGGGAAGCCAUGCAAAAUAGGGUGAUAGCCCCGUAUCCGAAAUUAAUUUAAUACCUAAGUAGAAUCCUGAGUACGUCGGAAAAUGUUAUUUUGACGGAAUCUGCCCAAACCAUUGGGUAAGCCUAAAUACUAGUCAGUGACCGAUAGUGAACAAGUA
rnacentral:rRNA from 1 species